GACGAACGCUGGCGGCGUGCCUAAUACAUGCAAGUAGGACGCAGUUGCGAACGGGUGAGUAACGCGUAGGUCACUGCCUAUUAGAUGGGGUUAACUAUUGGAAACGAUAGCUAAUACCGCCUACUAGUAGAUGGACCUGCGUUGUAUUCGCUAGUAGGUAGGGUAAUGGCUUACCUAGGCGACGAUACAUAGCCGACCUGAGAGGGUGAGUGGCCACACGGGGACUGAGACACAGCCCAGACUCCUACGGUAGGCAGCCGUAGGGAUUCUUCGGCAAUGGGGGGAACCCUGACCGAGCAACGCCGCGUGAGUGAAGAAGGUUUUCGGAUCGUAAAGCUCUGUUGUUAAGGAAGCGGUACUUAACCAGAAAGGGACGGCUAACUACGUGCCAGCAGCCGCGGUAAUAC
rnacentral:rRNA from 1 species